rnacentral:lncRNA from 1 species
CUCAAUUACCACCAGAAUGAGCGUCUAGCAGGUUCUUGAGUAGAUCCACCACCUUCAUCUUGUGAUUGAGAGCUUUGAUCUUGAUGAUAUUGAUAAUAUUGUGAUGGAUCAAAGCUGAAGAAUGAACCCAUACCAAAUUGAUCACUAGGAUUGGACUGGGUUUGAGUGUGGGAGAAUGAUUGCUCUGACAAAGAUAAAUCAGAAUACGAUGGAGGAGGCUGAUAUGGAUAUGGAUUUGAG